AACCCGGGACAACCCUUGGAAACGAGGGCUAAUACCGGAUAAUCUUUUGGCUUGGCAUCAAGCCUUAAGAAAAGGUGGCCUCCGAAUAUGCUACCGAUUAUGGAUGGACCCGCGUCUGAUUAGCUAGUUGGUGGGGUAAAGGCCUACCAAGGCGACGAUCAGUAGCCGGCCUGAGAGGGUGAACGGCCACACUGGGACUGAGACACUGCCCAGACUCCUACGGGAGGCAGCAGUGGGGAAUCUUCCGCAAUGGACGAAAGUCUGACGGAGCAACGCCGCGUGUAUGAUGAAGGUCUUCGGAUUGUAAAGUACUGUCUUUGGGGAAGAAUGACUGAUUUGAGAAUAUUGAGUCAGUAUGACGGUACCCAAGGAGGAAGCCCCGGCUAACUACGUGCCAGCAGCCGCGGUAAUACGUAGGGGGCAAGCGUUGUCCGGAAUUAUUGGGCGUAAAGGGCGCGUAGGCGGAUAGUUAAGUCCGGUGUGAAAGAUCAGGGCUCAACCCUGAGAGUGCAUCGGAAACUGGUUAUCUUGAGGACAGGAGAGGAAAGUGGAAUUCCACGUGUAGCGGUGAAAUGCGUAGAUAUGUGGAGGAACACCAGUGGCGAAGGCGACUUUCUGGACUGUAACUGACGCUGAGGCGCGAAAGCGUGGGGAGCAACCAGGAUUAGAUACCCUGGUAGUCCACGCUGUAAACGAUGAGUGCUAGGUGUAGAGGGUAUCGACCCCUUCUGUGCCGCAGUUAACACAAUAAGCACUCCGCCUGGGGAGUACGGCCGCAAGGUUGAAACUCAAAGGAAUUGACGGGGGCCCGCACAAGCGGUGGAGCAUGU
rnacentral:rRNA from 1 species